AUCACACUGAGAUACAAAUGGAUGAUUUGACAUAACUAUUUAAAUCAUUUGGAAUUCAGAAAAAAACUUAUGUUCAUGUUGAUAACUCAUUCCUAUUUCUGGGCAUUAUAGAUGGUGAGGAGAAAAACAUCAAAAUAAAAAAAAAUCCAUUGUGGAACUGGAAUGCAAGGAGAGAGAGUCUCUUCAGUAACUCUCUGGUUAUGAAUAAUAUUUGCAAAGAAAGUAAAUUGAAUAAAAGAAGGAGAGCCUGCUUACUGUCUCAAGCAGAUGCAUUUCCGCUUGCAGCAUGGAGCAAUGCAGGAGUUGUAGCAACAGAGAGCUGAACUCAGAUUACACUGCUGCCCACUACUAGCAACUUGGUGGUAAUCAAAG
rnacentral:lncRNA from 1 species